GGGAACGCGCGGACAAGGGGGGCGGGAAUAGAGGGGGUGCAAGGGGUAAUAGGAAUGACUGGGCGUAAAGCGGGCGUAGACGGGUAUGUAAGUCGGGUGUGAAAGCCCCGGGCUCAACCUGGGAAUUUCAUUCGAGACUGCAUAGCUAGGGUGCGGAAGAGGGAAGCGGAAUUUCCGGUGUAGCGGUGAAAUGCGUAGAUAGCGGAAGGAACACCAGUGGCGAAAGCGGCUUCCUGGUCCAGCACCGACGUUCAGGCACGAAAGCGUGGGGAGCAAACAGGAUUAGAUACCCGAGUAGUC
rnacentral:rRNA from 1 species